AUUACGUUUUUCCAACUUAUCGUUUUAUUUUCGUAAUGAUUGGGAGACGUGGACGUUUAUUCGAUGAAAUAAGCAUUGGUGCACUACCUUUGAAAUUGUCUUACUUUUGUACCAUGUUGUACUUAUCUUCUACGUAUUGUCAUUCUCAUACGAAGUUUAAAACAGUUUCAUAUAAAAAUAUAGUUCAGUAGGACAUAAUAUAAUAUCACGCCUUUGAAUGCAAAUGUAUGUCUGUAUCUUACCAUUCAGUAUUUUUCCUCUAGUAUUAACACUCGCAUGACUAUUGAUGAGACUUUUUGGAUCCAAUUUUUUUUUAAACAAAAACAUGAUUUUAUGAAUAUUUUAUGAUUAUUUCGCAUGAUUUUUUGCUCAAAUCACAUGUAUAAUCGACUAUACAUACUGUCACUUGUUUAUCCCUGCUGCAAUCACCGAAUUUUCAUAUAUAUAAUGUUUUAGAAAGAUAUUUAAUACAUAAUUGAAAUAUAAAAUCGCGCAUACCGAUAAUAAUUUGUUCAUGUUUUGCUGAAACUUAAGAUAUAUGUAUGUAUGUAUCUUGACGUUAGGAAAAUACUAUCGAAAAUGACGGAAAGAAUACAGUAGGGUUAACUCUUUCAUAAUGUUUCAUGAGAAAGGUUCGGGCAAGUUGUUAAAUAUGUAAUAAUAUGUAUGUAUCUAUCUAUCUACUAUAAAUUUUAUAUCUUAAAUAUUAUUAUACAUGCGGUAAUUAUUAAAAUUGAUUGCCAUUAAUUUACCGUUAAUUCAAAGAUUCGGUAACCUUCGUGUACACAUGUAUACGUUUAUUAGAUAUACCAGACUGUUCAGAUAUAUAUAAACAACAAUGUACGAUAUAUUUCAGAUACUUCAUUUUCUUUUUUCGUGUUCUCCUUCAGUCACUCUGUCACGUGUGUGGUCAUACCAGAAUAAAUGAACGACGAAAAAGGAACAGAUCUAGAGAAUUUAUCUUCUUUUUCGAGUCACGAUUUUAACGGAUUUAACUCGAAUGUGCAAUAAAAUAUUCUCUUGCACAUUACAUAUUUACUUUAUCCAGAGUUAUUAUUGUUCACGUAAUUUACAUUUGUCGUCCGUUGUAGUUUUAUAAUGAAAGCCUUUUAUUAGAACUUGUCUUGUAUGUGAACAUUUCAUGGUCACACAUAACAUGUCCGAUUAAAAACACGUCUCGAAAUUCCAUGCAGCCUGCAAGGCACAAAAAAUACAUAUAUAGUUCCGUCGAAAUCACAUUAAUGAGCUGAGACAGCAAACAUUGUUCUCAAGCAGAACCUUCUCACCCUUCGAGAACUUCUAAGCUUUUUGUUCGUUUUCUUGAGUUUGAAGAUUUAUGGAAGAUAUUUAAACUUAAAUAUUUCCCUUGUACUCUAUGCUUUAUACAUUUUCUACAGUUUUUUUAUUCUUUCGAACAAAUUAAAUAUUACAGCGGGAAAUAAUAUAUAUUUUGUACAAAAUUUCGUAUAUUAUAUUUUUUAUAGCGUUAGAUAAUAAAAUUAAUCAAUAAUAUAAUUGUAUUCUAGUAAUGAAAUUACAAUAACGAUCCCAAAAAUAACAAUUCUGAUCAUUUUUCGAUAAGCUAAGUUUAAGUAUGUAAGUAAGUAAGAUUUUCUCGAAAAGGAAACGUCACAUGAACAAAUCGUAUUCUAAUUUUCGUUGUUUUUUUUACGUAGAAUUACCCUCUUACCAAUUGUAUCACGAUUGCUGAGACAGCUAUAUAUGUAUAUAUUGUUAAUCAGAAUGUUUUUAUUAUAUGAUCAAUAACUUACCAGAUUUGGAUCAUAAACUCACAAUCUGUCGUUAAUGACGUUGAAAAGUUAUGGAAACUUUGGAAUUGAUAUAGCAUUGGAGGUCAGGUAAUUAAUCCCAUAAUUUAAAGAAAAUCUUGUUUAACGUAGAAAAUACAUAUCAUUGGUAAUUAGAUUGUAUGGAACAUUUUCUGUAUAUUUAAUAUUAGUUAAGUAAUUGUAUUAAUUAUUAUAAUGAAUAAAAAUGUUCUUAAAAUCUUUCAGUUUAACACGUUACAAGUCUUAACUUUUGACCAAAAGAUAUUCUAUCUUCAUUCAUAUUUAUUCAUUCAUUAUUCAACUAAACGUUUACCUAAACGUACCCACCGAAUUUUUAAAUAUAACUCUGUUUGCAAGUAUUACGGUAUUUUUGUCGGCAGAGAAAAAGUGGGUGAGAAAAUUUAGUUGAGAACUGACAUUAACGAGAAAAUAUUUUUGAAAAUAUACAAACGUAUAUUACUGAUGAAGUAUGUUCAAUAGUUUCGUAUAAAACUAAAUUUUGUACAGUAAUUUAAAGAAAUUUAGAUUGAAAAUGUAGGAAACGUAAAUGUAAAAUUGUAAUAUAUACGUAAUUUUAUUAAUAUUAUUUUAUAAUAUUGUUAUAUAUUAAUAAUAUAAUUAUGUUAUUUUAUUAAUAUAUAUGUAAUUAUAUUAAUUUCUUUUCUUGAAAGGUGGUUAUGGUCAUUUUAAACCUGAAAGUAUCGAACUUGUAUGUAAAAUUUUUGGAAAGUAAAAAAUUCGGAUAUGAAAAUUUGGGAAUUUAUUAAUUUAGGUGAUAUGAAAUAUCAUAAAUUAAAAAGGAUAGAAUAUGGAUAGAAUAUUUUAAUUCAGAAAUGAAAAAAUUAGGAUGUAGAAACUUGGGGAAUAAUAAAUUUGCGUAGGAAAAUUUAGAAAUUUAGAGAUUUAUAUAUGAAAAUUUCAAAAUGAUGAAAGUUAGGAAAUUCGCAAUAAAUAUGUCGUCUAGAAGUUGCAUGACGAAUUUUUACGUUUUAAUUAGCAAGCUUAUAAAAGAAGUGCUGUUGUAUUAGGCUAAAAGAAAUUCUACUUAUAUGUAUACGUACAUAUGUAUGUAGAUCGUACAAGCAAAAUGCUCCUGCUGAGAGGUGAUUCUCACGAACUGAACGUACUAGUUCUGGCAACUUUGCAUGUAUUCCAAGGAACAAUCAUCUUAAACUACAGCUGCGAACCUACGGCUGGGAAACGGCUUUUAUUAUACAGGCUGGUUGGUAACUGGUGGUAGAAGCGGAAAGGGGGUGAUUCUACGCGAAAAAAGAAGUCGAAAAUAUAGAAUAAAAAUUUUUCGUACCACCAAAAAUCGACUUUGAAUUUUCGCUCGGUACGCGUGCGGUACGUUAUAACGAAUCUCACUGUAGAUCGUUGUCUCGGUGGAAAAAUUAAAACAAAAAGAAUUAAAAAAAAAGAUUUUUAUUCUAUAUUUUCGACUUCCUUUUUCACGUAGAAUCACCCCCUUGCCGCUUGUACCACCAAUUACCAACCACCCUGUAUAUUAAACGUUAAAAGUGUUUUGGUACAAUUUAAACAAUAUUGUAAUGUGUGGUAUAUUUUUUAAUUUUGUUGAUUAAAUAGAAUAUGAUUUAUUAGAUGGAAUAUGAUAUUCUUGUUACCGACUUGGGUCAUUAGAGUAGUUUUAUAUUUCACUGGUAAAUAGGAAAGAAACAUUUACCGACUAUGGCGCUUACAUAUACAAUACGAUGGAAAAUGCAUAAGGUAGAAAUAUAAAUGAUAACUCUCAACAUGCAAGGCAUCAACUUUCAUCGAAUGACAAAUUAUUCUUUGAUUCUGACACAUCUUGCGAAACUACCGAGCGACCUUCGUUUCUGGAUACAUUAACAUACGUUCAAGAUGUUUCAUUUGUCUUUUCUGCCUCCGUAUCUUUGUUAUUUGCAGCAGUAUAAAAUAAGUAUUAUGUAAAGAGCGUUGUAAAAAGACAAUUUUAGUAUUCGAGUUUGUACUUUUUAAAUUUCUGAUCUCGUCGAUAUGAGGUGAUAAUAUAUGUAUUUGAGAAUAAUAUUCGUGCCUAUCUUUGUUAUCAUGUUCUUAUAUCUUUACAACUAAUCUAUUAAAAAGCAGCAUAACAAAAUUAUCAGUGAUCUUGGAAACUAAAAAAUAAUUUUGUGAUUCGAAAUUUAUAAUUACAGUAUCUUUUAUGUAGAAAUAAACAAUUUUGCUGUUAGUA